GGUUUCACCAUGUUGGCCUGGCUGGUCUCGAACUCCUGACCUCAGGUGAUCCGCCUGCCUUGGCCUCCCAAAGUGCUGGGAUUAUAGGCAUGAGCCACCGCUCCUGGCCUGUAUUUGUUUAUUCAGUAUUUAUUUGUAAAGUAUUAGAAACUGGCUUUAUACUGUAGACCUGGUGGACGAUAUCUGACCUUCAUUUAGCCAGAACAUACACGGACACCUGACUUUUUUGAGAUCUUUUCUGACAAAACUCUCUCCUUGGUGCAAGAUGCAGAGAGGAUGCUUCCCUUUGGCCUAAAGUAUACAGUGCUUGCAUGGGUUUAGGAACAGUUCACCAAACCCUGGUCUUUGUCCCAACAUACCCCUGUUCAUUUUAUGCUAAUUCAAUUCCCUUCACUUUACUCCAACUCAAUUACAUUUUUUUUUUGAGAUGGAGUCUGGCUCUGUAGCUCAGGCUGGAGUGCGGUGGUGCGAUCUCGGCUCACUGCAACCUCCGCCUCCCAGGUUCAGGAGAGUCUCCCACCUCAGCCUCCCGAGUAGCUGGGACUACAGGCGUGCGCCAUCACACCCGGCUAAUUUUUUUGUAUUUUUAGUAGAGACGAGGUUUCACCAUGUUGCCAGGCUGGUCUUGAACUCCUGACCUCAGAUGAUCCGCCCGCCUCGCCCUCCCGAAGUGUUGGUAUUACAAGCGUGAGCCACCACGCCCGGCACAAUUACAUUUAAUUCAACUCAAU
rnacentral:lncRNA from 1 species